rnacentral:rRNA from 1 species
GAGCGGUAGAGAUCUUUCGGGAUCUUGAGAGCGGCGUACGCCUUUNNGAACACGUGUGCAACCUGCCUUUAUCAGGGGGAUAGCCUUUCGAAAGGAAGAUUAAUACUCCAUAAUAUAAUUUACGGCAUCGUGAAUUAUUGAAAACUCCGGUGGAUAGAGAUGGGCACGCGCAAGAUUAGAUAGUUGGUGAGGUAACGGCUCACCAAGUCGAUGAUCUUUAGGGGGCCUGAGAGGGUGAUCCCCCACACUGGUACUGAGACACGGACCAGACUCCUACGGGAGGCAGCAGUGAGGAAUAUUGGACAAUGGGUUAGCGCCUGAUCCAGCCAUCCCGCGUGAAGGACGACGGCCCUAUGGGUUGUAAACUUCUUUUGUACAGGGAUAAACCUAUCUACGUGUAGAUAGCUGAAGGUACUGUACGAAUAAGCACCGGCUAACUCCGUGCCAGCAGCCGCGGUAAUACGGAGGGUGCAAGCGUUAUCCGGAUUUAUUGGGUUUAAAGGGUCCGUAGGCGGAUGCGUAAGUCAGUGGUGAAAUCUCACAGCUCAACUGUGAAACUGCCAUUGAUACUGCGUGUCUUGAGUAAGGUAGAAGUAGCUG